CCCUUAGAGUUUGAUCCUGGCUCAGGACGAACGCUGGCGGCGUGCUUAACACAUGCAAGUCGAACGAAGAGCGAUGGAAGCUUGCUUCUAUCAAUCUUAGUGGCGAACGGGUGAGUAACGCGUAAUCAACCUGCCCUUCAGAGGGGGACAACAGUUGGAAACGACUGCUAAUACCGCAUACGAUCUAACCUCGGCAUCGAGGAUAGAUGAAAGGUGGCCUCUACAUGUAAGCUAUCACUGAAGGAGGGGAUUGCGUCUGAUUAGCUAGUUGGAGGGGUAACGGCCCACCAAGGCGAUGAUCAGUAGCCGGUCUGAGAGGAUGAACGGCCACAUUGGGACUGAGACACGGCCCAGACUCCUACGGGAGGCAGCAGUGGGGAAUCUUCCGCAAUGGACGAAAGUCUGACGGAGCAACGCCGCGUGAGUGAUGACGGCCUUCGGGUUGUAAAGCUCUGUUAAUCGGGACGAAAG
rnacentral:rRNA from 1 species